UGUGUCUUGUUUUCUGUUAUUGUUGUUGUAUAGUGUUGAUUUCUGAAGGAGACAUGGAGAGAUGGAAAAAAGCUAGCCCAACAGAAACCAAUAAUGGUACUGUGGUAGUAAUGUCGUCUUUUCUUCAGAGACUCUGUCUGUAGAUGGAAAAGGGACAACAUCAUCAGACUGAUUCAGUUCUACAAGUUCAAAAUUGAGGACUCUGCUGAACAUUGAGGAAAAAUACCGUAUUGGGAGAAGAUGGCAAGAGUCUGAUUCAAACUUCCAGUCUACCCUUAAAGAUGUGGACCGUGAGCUCAGAGUCCAACUGCAAGGCUAGAACUGAAUCAAGGG